AUUGAACGCUGGCGGCAGGCUUAACACAUGCAAGUCGAGCGGUAACAGGAGAAGCUUGCUUCUCGCUGACGAGCGGCGGACGGGUGAGUAAUACUUAGGAAUCUACCUAGUAGUGGGGGAUAGCUCGGGGAAACUCGAAUUAAUACCGCAUACGACCUACGGGAGAAAGGGGGCAACUUGUUGCUCUCGCUAUUAGAUGAGCCGAAGUCGGAUUAGCUAGAUGGUGGGGUAAAGGCCUACCAUGGCGACGAUCUGUAGCUGGUCUGAGAGGAGGAUCAGCCACACCGGGACUGAGACACGGCCCGGACUCCUACGGGAGGCAGCAGUGGGGAAUAUUGGACAAUGGGGGCAACCCUGAUCCAGCCAUGCCGCGUGUGUGAAGAAGGCCUUUUGGUUGUAAAGCACUUUAAGCAGUGAAGAAGACUCUAGGGUUAAUACCCUUAGACGAUGACAUUAGCUGCAGAAUAAGCACCGGCUAACUCUGUGCCAGCCGCCGCGGUAA
rnacentral:rRNA from 1 species